AUACGUAGGGGGCGAGCGUUGUCCGGAAUGAUUGGGCGUAAAGGGCGCGUAGGCGGCCCGGUAAGUCUGGAGUGAAAGUCCUGUUUUUAAGAUGGGAAUUGCUUUGGAUACUGUCGGGCUUGAGUGCAGGAGAGGUAAGUGGAAUUCCCAGUGUAGCGGUGAAAUGCGUAGAGAUUGGGAGGAACACCAGUGGCGAAGGCGACUUACUGGACUGUAACUGACGCUGAGGCGCGAAAGUGUGGGGAGCAAACAGGAUUAGAUACCCUGGUAGUCCACACUGUAAACGAUGAAUGCUAGGUGUAGGGGGUAUCGAUCCCUUCUGUGCCGCAGUCAACACAAUAAGCAUUCCGCCUGGGGAGUACGGCCGCAAGGUUGAAACUCAAAUGAAUUGGCGGGG
rnacentral:rRNA from 1 species